UUGAAGAGUUUGAUCAUGGCUCAGAUUGAACGCUGGCGGCAGGCCUAACACAUGCAAGUCGAACGGUAACAGGAAGAAGCUUGCUUCUUUGCUGACGAGUGGCGGACGGGUGAGUAAUGUCUGGGAAACUGCCUGAUGGAGGGGGAUAACUACUGGAAACGGUAGCUAAUACCGCAUAACGUCGCAAGACCAAAGAGGGGGACCUUCGGGCCUCUUGCCAUCAGAUGUGCCCAGAUGGGAUUAGCUAGUAGGUGGGGUAACGGCUCACCUAGGCGACGAUCCCUAGCUGGUCUGAGAGGAUGACCAGCCACACUGGAACUGAGACACGGUCCAGACUCCUACGGGAGGCAGCAGUGGGGAAUAUUGCACAAUGGGCGCAAGCCUGAUGCAGCCAUGCCGCGUGUAUGAAGAAGGCCUUCGGGUUGUAAAGUACUUUCAGCGGGGAGGAAGGGAGUAAAGUUAAUACCUUUGCUCAUUGACGUUACCCGCAGAAGAAGCACCGGCUAACUCCGUGCCAGCAGCCGCGGUAAUACGGAGGGUGCAAGCGUUAAUCGGAAUUACUGGGCGUAAAGCGCACGCAGGCGGUCUGUUAAGUCGGAUGUGAAAUCCCCGGGCUCAACCUGGGAACUGCAUCUGAUACUGGCAAGCUUGAGUCUCGUAGAGGGGGGUAGAAUUCCAGGUGUAGCGGUGAAAUGCGUAGAGAUCUGGAGGAAUACCGGUGGCGAAGGCGGCCCCCUGGACAAAGACUGACGCUCAGGUGCGAAAGCGUGGGGAGCAAACAGGAUUAGAUACCCCGGUAGUC
rnacentral:rRNA from 1 species